GACUCCGUAGCUUGAAGGGAAUAGAAGCGCCCGUCUAGCGAAUUGGGAGUCGUGAGUUCGAGUCUCACCGGAGUAC
rnacentral:tRNA from 1 species